rnacentral:piRNA from 1 species
UGAUAGCUUCUAUCUUUGCAUGAUUCUGAUU